rnacentral:misc_RNA from 1 species
GGGUAUUCCUUGUUUUGACCUCUCGUGUUGAUGUUUCGAUUUGGUGCCAUUUUGGGUCUGGACAGGAAACAGGAAAGAGAAUAGGAAUUUUCUUUACCUUCCCGGGUUUAUUAAGAACUAUUUGGCUUAAUCAGUCAUAUACAAAACGGAAAUGAAUUCUAGAACUCUAUGGCCGCAUUAAUUUCUUGCUUUCUUUCUCGAUCAGUUCUCUUUUUUAAUUUUUUUUUAUCUUAUUGGAGCCAUUCGACUGCUGGAUUCAAAUUUAGAUGUAGAGAUUGUUAAUUUCUGACUCUGAACUGCCAUUAAAUGUUUAUGUUGGUUUCAUCCUGGAAAAUUCAUUUUGUAGCUGUGAGGCAAUAUUUCAUGAAUUUAUGCUUUGAUAGUAUUCUUUUCUAUUUUUCGGUGCUCAUAGCAGCUGCAAUCUAUGGAAACUAUCCACUUUUUUCUUUUAUUUUUUUUUCAAGAC